rnacentral:lncRNA from 1 species
CUGGGUAAUGGUGAGCCCUGAAGUCGCACCCCAGCUCUGCCACUCAGUGAGCACGGGUAAGUCAUCCACCUCCUCCAGGUGGCCUUGAUGGCCCUCCCUCCUCUGAGACUAAAGAGAGGCCACAAUGCCCAGAGCAGCCUCCUUCCUGUCUCAAGAAAGGAAAGGAUCUCAGGAACCCAUUUCAUGUGGUAGCAGCUUUUAGUUGUGGGUUGUAAACAACCCUCUGUUGCCAGGAAAGUCAAAUUGCAACCAUAAUCACUGAUCCUGAGCAGUAAAUGUGACAUUGGUUAAUUCUUCUGUGAGGGCCUGAACGCUGGUUCCCUGGAAUGUUGCAGACCUUUGGAAUCGGGGCAGUUACACUGUUCUCAUUCACAAGCUUUUCUCUGAGUUGGCCUCUUCUGAGCACUAGAGUUGGUUGCAGAAGUGUCUUUCUACAGUUUGCCAAGCACUUUAUGCAGACAGCAAGAAUUACCGUUUUUUUAGUACUGUCCUAUCAGUGUGUCCUGACUUUUUACCUCAUAAGACCAAGUUGGCUGAAGCAUAGGACAUCACUGAGUGCUUUGAAACAAAGCUGUUUGAUUCCUGUUCACUGAAUGCCAUUUCUUUCAGGGUAGAUUUAAGGACUUUCCCCUUAAAGUACAGUGCUACUGACUCUAGAUUGAGGGUUCAAGCCACCCCGUGGGUUAACUUCAACAGAUGAAAAUUUUUCCUUGGCUACAGCAACAUCCCUAAUCCUGACCAGCCAUGGAGAGGUUCGGUUCUUACAAGGAAAAUGAGUGAAUGUGGGAAUGGCUCACCACAUUGUGAAAACAAAACUCACAUCCUGCUGAUGGUUGGCUGAGGACUGUCAUGUCCACAUACAAAGAAAAGCAUGUGGCACAGUUUUAGGACAAAGAUAUGGUUUUGUGGAGUUUGAUGAUCUGCGUGAUGCAGAUGAUGCUGUUUAUGAACUGAAUGGCAAAGACCUUUGUGGUGAGCGAGUAAUUGUUGAGCAUGCCCGCGGCCCACGGCGAGAUGGCAGUUACGGUUCUGGACGCAGUGGAUAUGGUUAUAGAAGAAGUGGCCGAGAUAAAUAUGGCCCUCCUACUCGCACAGAGUACAGACUUAUUGUGGAGAAUUUGUCAAGUCGGUGCAGCUGGCAAGACCUAAAGGAUUAUAUGCGUCAGGCAGGAGAAGUGACUUAUGCAGAUGCUCACAAGGGACGCAAAAAUGAAGGGGUGAUUGAAUUUGUAUCUUAUUCUGAUAUGAAAAGAGCUUUGGAAAAGUUGGAUGGAACUGAAGUCAAUGGGAGAAAAAUCAGAUUAGUUGAAGACAAGCCAGGUUCCAGACGACGCCGGUCCUACUCCAGAAGCCGGAGUCAUUCAAGGUCGGGCUCCCGCUCCCGGAGCAAGAGCCGGAGCCGGAGCCAGAGUCGGAGCCGGAGCAAGAAAGAGAAAAGCAGGAGCCCCAGCAAGGAAAAGAGCCGCAGCCGCAGCCAUAGCGCUGGCAAGAGCCGCAGCAAGAGCAAAGACCAAGCUGAAGAGAAGAUCCAAAACAAUGACAAUGUCGGGAAACCCAAGAGCCGGAGUCCUAGCAGGCAUAAAAGUAAGAGCAAAAGUCGGAGCAGGAGUCAGGAGAGGAGAGUGGAGGAGGAGAAGCGAGGGAGUGUGAGCAGGGGCAGGAGCCAGGAGAAGAGCCUCCGCCAGAGUCGGAGCCGGAGCAGGAGCAAAGGGGGCAGCAGGAGCCGGAGCAGGAGCCGCAGCAAGAGCAAGGACAAGAGGAAGGGCAGGAAGAGAAGCAGAGAGGAGAGCCGCAGUCGCAGUCGCAGCCGCAGCAAGAGUGAGAGGAGCAGAAAGCGAGGCAGCAAGCGAGACAGCAAGGCGGGCAGCAGC